UGCGGAGUGGCGAAAUGGUAAACGCAGCUGGUUGUUGACCAGCCAGGUCGGACAGACUUUUGGUGGUUCGAUUCCACCCUCCGCAGCCA
rnacentral:tRNA from 2 species